CGUACACUCCUACGGGAGGCAGCAGUGGGGAAUUUUGGACAAUGGGCGAAAGCCUGAUCCAGCCAUGCCGCGUGCAGGAUGAAGGCCUUCGGGUUGUAAACUGCUUUUGUACGGAACGAAACGGCCUUUUCUAAUAAAGAGGGCUAAUGACGGUACCGUAAGAAUAAGCACCGGCUAACUACGUGCCAGCAGCCGCGGUAAUACGUAGGGUGCAAGCGUUAAUCGGAAUUACUAGGCGUAAAGCGUGCGCAGGCGGUUAUGUAAGACAGUUGUGAAAUCCCCGGGCUCAACCUGGGAACUGCAUCUGUGACUGCAUAGCUAGAGUACGGUAGAGGGGGAUGGAAUUCCGCGGGUAGCAGUGAAAUGCGUAGAUAUGCGGAGGAACACCGAUGGCGAAGGCAAUCCCCUGGACCUGUACUGACGCUCAUGCACGAAAGCGUGGGGAGCAAACAGGAUUAGAAACCCCGGUAGUCCC
rnacentral:rRNA from 1 species